UAUGGAGGAUGCAAGCGUUAUCCGGAAUGAUUGGGCGUAAAGCGUCCGCAGGUGGCAAUGUAAGUCUGCUGUCAAAGCGUCUGGCUCAACCAGAUAAAGGCAGUGGAAACUACAUAGCUAGAGUAAGGUAGGGGUAGAGGGAAUUCCUGGUGUAGCGGUGAAAUGCGUAGAGAUCAGGAAGAACACCGGUGGCGAAAGCGCUCUGCUGGACCUUAACUGACACUGAGGGACGAAAGCUAGGGGAGCGAAUGGG
rnacentral:rRNA from 1 species